AUUGAACGCUGGCGGCAUGCCUUACACAUGCAAGUCGAGCGCGAAAGGGGGGCAACCCCGAGUAGAGCGGCGGACGGGUGAGUAACACAUCGGAACGUGCCCAGUAGUGGGGGACAACCUCGAGAAAUCGAGGCUAAUACCGCAUACGACCCACGGGUGAAAGCGGGGGACCCAAAGGCAACUGAGGGCCUCGCGCUAUUGGAGCGGCCGAUGUCCGAUUAACUAGUUGGCGGGGUAAGAGCCCACCAAGGCGACGAUCGGUAGCUGGUCUGAGAGGACGACCAGCCACACUGGGACUGAGACACGGCCCAGACUCCUACGGGAGGC
rnacentral:rRNA from 1 species